GUCCCCAUAGCUUAACUGGACAAAGCGCAUCCCUGCGGAGGAUGAGAGUGAGAGUUCGAAUCUCUCUGGGGACACCA
rnacentral:tRNA from 1 species